GACUCUGCCUUUGCUUGCAGUUCUCUGGCUUGAUUGAGGAGGUUCUCACUUUCAUCUUUAUGGGACUUUGGCUAAAAAAAAUAAACUGUCAAAGGAACUGGCAUUUGCUGACUGGACUACAGCACAUCUCGAAGAAUCUGCAGACUGAAACCUUCAAGGCAUUCAUGAAAUGGUCUUUCCUUAGUUCCCCUGCCCUUUCCACUCUUUCUGCCAUUUGGAUUUCACACUGGAAGUUCAAGAGAUGACAUCAGAAAACAGAAAAGCCAGUGGGAAAGGCAAGGAGAUUUGGAAGAGUGUUUGAAAAUUUUGGCAAUCAAGAAUAAGAAGGUCAGUAAAUUUCAGUACAGGACCACAUAAGUCUAAAAUACUACCUACGAUUUUGCUUAAAGAUCGUGCAACUGUGUAGACGGAUGUUCCUGCAAACCCAAAGCAGGAAGCCAAGUCACCAGGCAGAACUGAUAGCAUGGGAAGUGGGUUCCCACCAGUCGCAUGCAGCUGCUCUGGUAUGGCCAUGGUGCUGGGGAUGAGUCAGAAAUCUCAGUCUUUUCUGGCUUAAAGAAAAGGAAGAAUGGAACCCAUCUUCUCCAGAUAUGUUGUUAUGGGGUAAGUGUAGGUCUAGAGACAGAAAAGAAUCACAUUUGAACAUCCUCUUAAUGCAAGAACAUUUUUAAAGAAUCAAUUUCCCCUGAAUAUCCAUCAAGCCUAAUACAGUGUGACUAUCUGAGAUCAAUUAUUUUAUCUUUACAAAGACUGGGAGUUAUACAGCAAAAGCAAUACUGUAAAAUAUGUGU
rnacentral:antisense_RNA from 1 species